GUUAUUCUGUAUGUUGGUAAAUUGAACACCAAUAAAAAAUUAACUUAUUAAAAGAAAAAAAGAAAAAGAGGUGAGGCUCAGCGGCUAAGCGUGCUUGCCUUCGACUCAGGGCGUGAUCCCAGGGUCCUGGGAUCGAGUCCCGCAUCCGGCUCCCUGCAUGAGGCCUGCUUCUCCCUCUCCCUGUGUCUCUGCCUGUCUCUCAUGCAUAAAGUCUUAAAAAAAAAAAAAAAAAAAAGGAAGAAAGAAAGAGGCGAGCCUGCGGGCGAAGGGCAGCUAUAGGCUCCAGGGUGCGGUGAGGCCGCGGGGUGCAAGGGUCCGGUGAGCCUCCGGGUGAGGCAAGGCUGUGGGGUGUGGCAAGCCUCCGGGAUGCAGCGAGGCCGCGGGGUGCAGGCGUGUGGCGAGACUCCAGGGUACAGGGGUGCAGCGUGGCUCCGGGGUGCAGCGAGACCGCGGAGUGCAGGGAUUCAUCCCUCGUGAAGAUGGAGAAGACAAGUUCACGUCCUGGUUCUCAAGGCUUGUGAGUGGGCAUAGAUUUGCAAGAAAAAGCAAGUUACUCGUGAUGACUUUGUCUCUCCCUUUCUGAUCCUGGCGACGUUACCAUCUUUCAUCUCCCCGGUGUGCAGGCCCUGCUCUCCAGAAUAGAGCUGAGGUAAGGCUGCGACGGGGACCCUGCUGGUCAGUCCCUGAUGCUGAUUCUGGAGACAUCCCCCCUCCCUAAAAGCACGUUCAUG
rnacentral:lncRNA from 1 species